rnacentral:rRNA from 1 species
UUAUCCUGAGAGGUGAUGCGUAGCCGUAGCGGCGAAAUCCAUGAUCCUAUGCUGCCGAGAAAAGCCUCUAGCGAGCUGGUACAUGGCCCGUACCCCAAACCGACACAGGUGGUCAGGUAGAGAAUACUAAGGCGAUCGAGAGAACUGUGGUUAAGGAACUCGGCAAAAUGCCCCCGUAACUUCGGGAGAAGGGGGACCAGUCCUGGUGACGACAUUUACUGUCUGAGCUGGGGUUGGUCGCAGAGACCAGAGAGAAGCGACUGUUUACUAAAAACACAGGUACGUGCGAAGUCGUAAGACGAUGUAUACGGACUGACGCCUGCCCGGUGCUGGAAGGUUAAGAGGACCGGUCAGCCACUUCGGUGGCGAAGCUGAGAAUUUAAGCCCCAGUAAACGGCGGUGGUAACUAUAACCAUCCUAAGGUAGCGAAAUUCCUUGUCGGGUAAGUUCCGACCUGCACGAAUGGCGUAACGACUUCUCUGCUGUCUCAACCACAGACUCGGCGAAAUUGCAGUACGAGUAAAGAUGCUCGUUACGCGCGGCAGGACGAAAAGACCCCGGGACCUUCACUAUAGCUUGGUAUUGGUGUUCGGUUCGGUUUGUGUAGGAUAGGUGGGAGACUGUGAAACUCGCACGCCAGUGUGGGUGGAGUCAUUGUUGAAAUACCACUCUGACCGUAUUGGACAUCUAACCUCGGACCAUGAUCUGGUUCAGGGACAGUGCCUGGUGGGUAGUUUAACUGGGGCGGUUGCCCCCUAAAAAGUAACGGAGGCGCCCAAAGGUUCCCUCAGCCUGGUUGGCAAUCAGGUGUUGAGUGUAAAUGCACAAGGGAGCUUGACUGUGAGACGUACAUGUCGAGCAGGGACGAAAGUCGGGACUAGUGAUCCGGCACCGGCAAGUGGAAGCGGUGUCGCUCAACGGAUAAAAGGUACCCCGGGGAUAACAGGCUGAUCUUCCCCAAGAGUCCAUAUCGACGGGAUGGUUUGGCACCUCGAUGUCGGCUCGUCGCAUCCUGGGGCUGGAGUAGGUCCCAAGGGUUGGGCUGUUCGCCCAUUAAAGCGGCACGCGAGCUGGGUUUAGAACGUCGUGAGACAGUUCGGUCUCUAUCCGCCGCGCGCGUAAGAAACUUGAGGAAACCUGUCCCUAGUACGAGAGGACCGGGACGGACGAACCUCUGGUGUGCCAGUUGUUCCACCAGGAGCACCGCUGGUUAGCUACGUUCGGAAGGGAUAACCGCUGAAAGCAUCUAAGCGGGAAGCCUGUUCCAAGAUGAGGUUUCUCACCACCUAGCGUGGUUAAGGCCCCCCACAGACCAUGGGGUUGAUAGGCCAGAACUGUAAGCACAGCAAUGUGUUCAGGUGACUGGUACUAAUCGGCCGAGGAC